AGAGUUAAUUGAAUAGUCGCUGGUAAAAUUCGAAAGGAUUUACGAGAGGAAAGUCCGGGCUCCAUAGAGCAAAGAUGCUAGAUAACGUCUAGUGAGGGAAACCUUAAGGAAAGUGCAACAGAAAAUAACCGCCAUUUAUGGUAAGGGUGAAAAGGUAAGGUAAGAGCUUACCGCUAUUAUGGUGACAUAAUAGGUCAAUGCAAACCCCAUCUGGAGCAACACCUAAAAUUAAGAAGAUUAAACCUGCUCGGUGCCUUCUUAGAUUGCGUGGCUUGAGAUAUAUAGCAAUAUAUAUCCUAGAUAAAUGACUAUUUUAAAAGACAGAACCCGGCUUACAGAUUAACUUUAACC
rfam:Clostridium sp. CAG:440 genomic scaffold, scf17